rnacentral:lncRNA from 1 species
UUUAUAAUUAAUAUAUAAGAAUAACUUUUUUAUGUUGUCUGUGCUAUAUUGGCAGUGUUCUAUGUCCACAAUUUCUUUUUAACUUAUGUUCUCUGAAUUUUAUUUUGGUGUAUGUAUAUCAUCUUUAAUGUGUCUUUUUUUAACUCACUGAAUUAUUAUACUCAUUAAUUAUUACUCCUGAUUUAUAGAAUGAAAUACAAAGUAUCUUAUAGUUGGUUUUAAUAUCAGCUUGCCACAAAUUAGAAUCAACAGUCCUCUAAUUGUAGGGCAACACUUAGUCCAUAGGGUAGGGUGGUUUAAUAGUCCGAAUCUGGUGCCAGAAGCCUGGAAUGUUCCUGGAGAGUCUCUGACCUCUCGUCUGAGAUGAAAGCUUGGAAACAUGGGGUCUGCUGUGAGCGAAUGUUGGAGCAGCAGCAGCGGGACAAAUUAACUUGGUGACAAAAGAAGGUCAAGUGAGCAAAAGGCUAUUCAAUGGAGUAUUGAUACUGUGUUUAAACACUGGAGAGUGUCUUUCAAACAUAGCUGUGUUUUACUAAAUCAUAAAACUUAAUGUUUACGGGAGUUCUGUUAAAAAUAGUUGUUCCCCAGAUUGAGGCUAACAAUGCUAUACUUGAACCUAAAACAUUCCACAAGAGUAAAUGAAGAGAGAAAUUCCUUACCCAUAUAUAUAUUAUAGCUUUUUUUAAAAGGCAUUGGCAGACUGGUUUAAAAAAAUGUGGUAGGGAAAUUAUCCUGUUUAAUAAUCCCAGAGGCAGAAGUAUUGUGAGUUUAAGGCUAGCCUCGUCUACAGAGAAAGUUCCAGGACAGACAGGGCUGUUACAUAGUCAAGGGUGGGGAGUGGGGUAGGCUAUACAGUAUGACUUAUGUUUAAGAAAACUGUUGAAGAAGUUCAUUAGUGAUGGAUAAAGCUCAUUGAUAGAGGGCUUGGCUUGCCUAGCCUGCACAAAGCCCUGUCCUACAAAAACAGACAAAAACUACAUAGUUUGUUAACACAGUAAACCUUUGAAUCUUGAGCAUUGUCAUUGGAAAAUCUCUGGGUAGUAUUUGGAUUUGGGUUAUUAAGCUGUUAAGUAGCUUUUGUUUGAUCACAGUUAAUGAAAAAAUUACUCUCUACUCAGUAAGCAAAAAAUAGCAUAGGAUUUUAUGUAGUCACCACAGAUUUAUGCUUCUGUCAAUGUUUUUACAGAAACUGAACCAGAGAGUGCAGCUAUUUUCCAGGCUUGAAAGCUAUCUAUUCUAUGCCUUUUGAAAAGUAAUUCAUUAAAUAUUAAAUUAGAUUUUUAUUUCUUCCCACACACUCUAUAAUAUUCAUUGAGGAAAUGUGUCAUAUGUUAGUAGUAUGCUGUAUAUUUAGUUGAACUGUACUUGAUAGUCUCUUUUCUGGAAAUCAAUCUUAGAGAUGAGACUAAUGGAUAAAGUUACCAAAAAUAUAUUAGAGGUGGGAUGUAACUAUAAUGGGCAAGGCCCUGGAAUGAAUUCCUAGCAUUUAAAAUAAAGAACAAGUGUAUCUCAUAGACAUUUCUCAGAAAUCCACCGGUUUUAAUUAUAAAUGCCUAAUGUCAUCAUUGAUACUAAAAACAAUAGCUGCCAUUUGUUGAUUUGUUUAUUAUAUUGCUAUGAACUACUGCUUUAAGUGUAUCUUAUAUCAUCUUGUUAGCAUUCCAUGAAGUUUAUUUAGAGCUCCUUAAUAUUAAGAAACUUAGCCAGGGGGCUAUAGAGAUGGCUAAGCAAUUAAGAGCAUAGGUUGUUCUUCUAGAGGACCCAGGUUCAAUUCCCAGCACUCACAUGGCAGCUCACAACUAUCUGUAACUCCAGUUCUAUCAGAUCUAACAUCUUCACACAGACACACAUGCAAGCAAAACACCAGUGCACCUAAACACAAAUCAGGAGGCAGUGUGUGGGAGGACUAAACCAGGCUUGAUGGUGCACUUGAGGCAGACACAGGCAGAUAUCUGAGUUCUAGAACAUCUAGGGCUUCACAGAGAAACCCUGUCUUGAAAAGAAAAGGAGGAAAAAUUAAGCAGUGCUGUGCCACAUUGAUAAAGGUUUAUUAAUGAACAUUUGUUUGACAAUGAGGUCCAUGUUCUUAACCGCUAUAUUAAUACUCCAAAGUACUGACUGAAUAUUCAUCGGCUCAUAAUACAUGAUGAUACAUGUUGAGAUGGAAGAAAAGACUGUCUUUUGUAGCACACUUCACCCUUGUAAUCACUUGUUGCACAUUUUCUUGACAAUAAGCUCUGCUUACUUUGGGACUUCCCACUCUUCUAUUUUCACAGUCCCCUGUGGUAAAAAUAUAUCAUUCUUUUAUUAUGCUUACAUAUCUCCACUGAAUAGUUAGACUGUUAACUCCAUGUGAGAGUGGCUUCUGCACAUGUCUUAAAACUCUUGGACCAACUUAACUCUGGUUCUACUACAUAGUUAGAGCUUACUAACUAUGAGGAGAGGAAAUUGGCAAUCCUGAUAGAAUAUAUUUACUAUUAAUGUGUGUCUUCUUCACAUAAGUUUGGGAACAUACUAUGCAGAAUCUUUUGGUUUUGUUUGUUCGUUUGUUUGUUCGUUUCCCUGUGAGCAUUCUCUCAGAUCAUUCUUUGGUUUUCUCAGAUGUGUAUUAAAGCUUUUGUGAAGAUCUGUGAGUAUCUCUCCUAUGAACAAAAAGUUUACCUGGGAAAAUUAAAAUAGCAAAAAGUAACAAUAAGCAUAAAAUAGGCAUAUGUGCCUCCUUGUUGCUAAAAUGUGUGUUCAAGUCAUGUUUAGCAUUAUUCUUGGAACAGAUCAGUCGAACGGUGUAGAAAUUCCAGAAGCAAUAGAGUGCAUAUGAAAAAACCUGUCUC